rnacentral:lncRNA from 1 species
ACUGCUGCUGCUCUUCUUCCCCACGUUCCUGCUCUGCACUCUGCUUCUCACCUCCGUUGCUGCUGUUUCUCUUCUGAACCUCUGCUACUGUUCAGCUCUGAACCUCUGCAUCUGUGUUGAAUGUGCUUUCAGUGUUCUUGACAUGUGUAAAACUGUUCAAUAUUCAGCUUACAAUUUGUGAAACUUUUGUGAUACAGUGAUGUCUCUAUGUUAUACAUAUAGCUUGUGUACUGCUUGCUGCAGUAAAUUUCAGUUUGUAAGUUCCUGUGAUAGCUCCAGUACAUGUGACUUUUAUGUUGUCUCAAGUUCCUGUUAUAUAUAUACAUAUGUGUGUGUCUGUGAUGUGAUACAUUUAUGUUCUGUCCUACAACCUUAUUGUGUUAGCAUUUUAUUUCUCAUGUAAAACGAAAAUACCAAAAAUAUUAUUGAAGAUAAUCUGAACCUCCUUUGCCCUUUUUGCAUUUUCUUUGGUGACGAUCUUUGGGUACAACCUUGUUUAGUGUAGGUUUAUUUUCUUGCAUUCAUAAUCUGAAUUGUGUUACCUAGCUUUAGCCAACCACCGUCAUUGAUUUGCCUAGUCCCUCAUGAGAACACGACACUCAUAGUUUGGGGCGUAAAAACCCCGCUAUAUUACAAUUGAUCAUUUUGGCGCCGUUGCCGGGGACUAGCGUCGAGCGAUUGUGCGAAGCUAUAGACUAGGCUUAGUAUAGUUUUUGUUUAAAUUUCCAGUCAAAUUUAUUUCUGUGUUUCUUUUACCUUUUUACUAUUUGUUGCUUCGGCUUAUUAGGAUACUAACCCUCUCACCAAUGUUUCAUGUUUGUGAGCGUGUGUAGGAUAUCUUAUUAUUUGUAGGCUGAUUGACAGUUGCACUUGAACAUAUGGCUUUAGUACGUGAUCUUUGGUUGCCAAGUAGUUUGGACACGAUGACAGGGCCAAUUUGGCCAUCUAUUGAGGCCAAAAAUUUUGAGUUGAGGCCUGGACUUAUUGCUCUCGUCUUGCAGAAUCAGUUUAGAGGAUUACCCAAUGAAGACCCUCAUGAGCACAUUAGUAAUGUUCUGGAGUAUGCCAAUACAGUCUAGUAUCAUGGCGUUUCCCAAGAUGCUAUCAAGUGUAUGUUGUUCACAUUCUCUCUCAGAGAUGCUGCUAAGGACUGGUACUAUUCUUUUCCAUCAAGAUCAUACACUUGGGGUGAUAUUUCACAAGCUUUCCUGCAUAGAUAUUUUCCACUUUACAAGCAAGCUGCAAUUCGUGACCAGAUCCUCAGUUCUGCGCAAGAUGGUAGUGAGAGCUUGUAUGCAGCUUGGGAGAGAUAUAAGUAUUUGCUUAGAAAAUGUCCUAAUCAUGGGCAAAAGGAUUGGUUAGUGCUUCAGAUAUUCUAUAGAGGGAUGACACAUGCUUCAAGAGAUCUUAUUGAUAUGUCAACUGGUGGAACAAUCAUGAACAAGACCGUCGAGGGUGCAAUUAUUCUCAUUGAGAGCAUUGCCUUCCACCAAAUUCAAUGGGGUUAUCAAAGGCCUAGUUCAAAUCCGAAGGUUGCAAGCCUCGUGCAAUCAAAAGUUGUGUGUUCCAUAAGUGAACAGAAAUCAUCCAUGGUGCCUAAUAUUCAAAACCAGCAUGUUUCAUUCCGGGGACAACAACAUUUCAGAACUGAAUUAGAUCCUCCAUAUAGAACGAUUGAUCUUACUUCAAUUAUCCUUGAUGAUGAUUAUGAUAUUUUUCAAGAUGAUGAAACUACUGUAGAUCAGAUGGAAACCACAGUAGCAGAUCCAAUACCUCAUGGCAAUGAAACUAUCCAGAAUGAGUCAAAGCUGCAAGAAGAUGUUUAUGAGGAACCUACUCUGAUUGAUGCUAAGUUGAGACAGCAAGAUAUGGAGAAAUUCACUUGUGUUAGUCAACUAUGUGACUGGUGGAAUUUAGUCGUGUCACCAAUUGCCCACACUUGUGUUACAACGGUAUCUGGGCUAUUUGUCAAGAAGAAAUCAUUAGCUCCACCGGUGGUUGCCUCUAUCACAGUUAAAGAGAGUAUCUCAGAGAAGAAUAGUGAAGAUGAGAUUCCAACUCCUGCACAUACAACUAAGCAAGUCGGAGCCAUUCCAAGGAGAGAGAUACAAGAGGUUGAGUCAAAUUUAGAAGAGUUGAUACUUCAAUAUCCUGAGAAGAUCCCACGUGUUGCUGAGCUGCAUGACUGGUGGAAGUCAUCAGUGUCACUGUUGAGACUUAGUAGUGAUGGUGAUGAGGAGAACAUUGCUCACAAAGACAGUGAGGUAGUGAUCUCAGCACCCCUACCAGAUCAUGUUAGUGAAUAUUCACAUAUGGGGACACUUCAGACUCAAUUAAGUGUUGCUGGUAGUAGCACCAUAGAAGAUCCNNNNNNNNNNNNNNNNNNNNNNNNNNNNNNNNNNNNNNNNNNNNNNNNNNNNNNNNNNNNNNNNNNNNNNNNNNNNNNNNNNNNNNNNNNNNNNNNNNNNNNNNNNNNNNNNNNNNNNNNNNNNNNNNNNNNNNNNNNNNNNNNNNNNNNNNNNNNNNNNNNNNNNNNNNNNNNNNNNNNNNNNNNNNNNNNNNNNNNNNNNNNNNNNNNNNNNNNNNNNNNNNNNNNNNNNNNNNNNNNNNNNNNNNNNNNNNNNNNNNNNNNNNNNNNNNNNNNNNNNNNNNNNNNNNNNNNNNNNNNNNNNNNNNNNNNNNNNNNNNNNNNNNGAGGAAGAGAGUCCUCAACUUGAAGAAGAUUUACAAGAAGACAAGGAACAAGAUGAUCAAGAGCUGCAAUUUCCAAGUGAUCAAGUUGAAGACUCAUCAUCUACUACUCCUGAAGAAGUACAAGAAGCUGCUGUAGAUGAAGAUGAAGAACCUGAGAUUCAUUGGCCUAUUGUCAUACAUGAGCGCGAUGUGUCAGGUUUACCCAAUCCUCUUGAUGACAUGCUCCCUUGUGAUUUCUUUGCUUCUAACUUGCAUUGCAUGAUGCCAUCACUUAAGGUAGAUUUGAAAAACUAUUUGCUUGGACAUGAUCAUACACACCCUGUUAGUGGCAUUACUCUCAUUUGUGAUGAUCACAGUUACUUUCCUCGUGCUAGUUCUAUGCUUAAUGAAACAUAUCAUUCCCAUGUUAGUCUUGAGCUUAAUGAUAAAUAUCAUCCUCAUGUUAGCAUUGAGCUUACUGAUUUGUACCGUCCUAAACAUGUGCUUUAUAGCUAUGCUUAUGUAAUUGGGUACUCUAUAGAUGAUUUAGAGGGCAUUACCCUUGUCACUUGUAUUGUUUCCUUGGUUGAGUGCUCUUUCAGGUUGUUGCUUGUGCACGAUCCACUACAUGCUGACCAAGUUCGAGAUGACAUUCCCUGGGACCCCGGUGGACCCAUGGCAUGGGGAUGAGGAGAAGCAAGGAGCACACAUGAAGAGAGAAGCUGGAGCAGGCAUGAGGAUAGGGAAGCAAAAAGAGAAGAGCUGCAGCUUAGAGAGUGAUCAAGCGAGUGCUACUUCAUAGUGCCCGGUUAGCUGUUUCAUGACCCAUUCUGAGUAUAUCAUCCAUUGAUGCUUGCUGAAUUAACUUGCUAUUUGGGUUGCUUGUGCCAUUUCUUAAAUGUUGUCCCACUGAAUUUCACCUUUGACAUAUGGUGCUUGAUGAGAAUAUGCGAACUAAUUGUUGAAUGCCUUGUAACUAGUGAUCUACACCCUGUUUGCUCUGCUGAAAGUAGUGAAAGCUGUUAGUUCUGAGUGCUCAAAUCCCUAGUACACUAGAAAACUAAAUCAUUUUCUGCAUUUACUAUGAUACACCUACAUCACCAUGUUUAGAUGCUGAAUUUUUGCCAAGUGUGUUCCCAUUGAGAGCAAUCACCUAACCACUAUGGAAUAGCAUGCUAUGUUCCCUGGAUCGGUAGCAUGUGAACCAGACAUGGAGAAGUGAUGAUUCCUGUUUUUGUGCUUAUGCAUUGUUCAUUUAAGAUAAGUAAUAAUGAAUAAAUUAGUCUGACUACCUACAGUAGCAUGUCAUGUUCUUGGGAUCGGUGGCAUGUGAAAUCGGGUUAGCUUGGGCAGUAAUAAUAUAAAAAUGUAAUUGUCGAACCAGGUGUAUACCAUGUUCUCGGGAUCGGUGGUAUGUUCCUUUGGGGAGACAAACAAGAAAACUAUAUAAUUGGUCGAGCCGGGUGUAUACCAUGUUCUCGAGAUCGGUGGUAUGUUCCUUUGGUGAGAUCAAUAAAAUAUUAGCAUUACUUCCUUCAAAUUCAAUAAGUGGUUCAACAACAAAGUUAUAUUUCUGCAAAUAAGAGAUUUAAUUCCAGUUCUUUUUGUUCUCGGGAUCAUGCUCUCUUUAGGAAUCAUUUGGCGCAAUCAUCAUUUAAACUUGUUGGUCCUCUUUUAUCAUUGUAAAAGUUUAAAAUGGUCAUGCUUACCAGUAUCCUACUGCUUUGUAGCACUCUUAACCAUCAAUUUUCACUAGCUAAGUCCAAAAGCAUGCAUUGUUUAGAGAUCUACUUCACUUGGACAUUCUUUACUCAGUUCACUGUUCACAUUCUUGCUCUUGUCAUAUGCCUUUGCUUGAGGACAAGCAAAGAUUUAAGUGUGGGGGAACUUGAUAAGUAUAUUUCACAUAUAUAAUUUUGGUACUCAAAUAUAGCUUCUAUCGUGACAUAUUCGUCCAUUCUUGCCAUGAUUGAUUGAAUAUUGCUUGAUAAUCAUCAAAAAGGAUCAUUUACUAGUCUUUGGUCUAUCUUGCAGAAAUGUGCACAAAGGCACUAAUAAUCGUCAAGAUUCCGUCUAUGUGGCUAUCGAGAAGAGUGAAGAAGAGAAGAGAAGGAAGAAGAGACUUGUGUGAGAUGAAGAGAAGUAACCAGGGGGCUAGGUAAAGAAGUGGGAGGACCUUCUUGUGAAGAAAGAAGAGAAGAAAGAGGGCCAAAUCACAAAGUGCAGAUGAGAGGAGGGGAACAAAAUCCCUAGGCGCUGGAGGGAUCCGAUCGGGCCUGGCCAUAUCUCCAUCUCUCUUCUCCCCCACCACUUCUUCCACCUCAGGCCGCUGUCUCGGCCAGGCCGGCGUGGUGGUGCGCCUCUGCAGCCCAGCCACCACCAUCUCCAUCCAUCUCCGCUGCGCCACCAUCCACAUCAGCGCCGCUGCGCCAUCCAUCACCAGCACCAACACCCAGCGCCACCCAGCACCUCCACACACUCCACACCGCCGCCAUCCAUCACCACCGCACCACUGAACACCUCCGCGCGAGAGUUUCCCUGCUGCCGUCCUUCUUCCCUUGCCUCUGCUGCUGCUCUUGCUUGCGCCCCUGUGCUGCUGCCUUUCUUCUCCCCUUGCUACUGCUCCCCUUUUCUAGCGCCUCAACCUGCUGCUCCUUCUCCUUCGCCUGCUGCUAGUCCCUUUCCCCAUGCCUCUGCUGCUCCUCCUCUUAAAACUGCUGCUGCUCUUCUUCCCCACGUUCCUGCUCUGCACUCUGCUUCUCACCUCCGUUGCUGCUGUUUCUCUUCUGAACCUCUGCUACUGUUCAGCUCUGAACCUCUGCAUCUGUGUUGAAUGUGCUUUCAGUGUUCUUGACAUGUGUAAAACUGUUCAAUAUUCAGCUUACAAUUUGUGAAACUUUUGUGAUACAGUGAUGUCUCUAUGUUAUACAUAUAGCUUGUGUACUGCUUGCUGCAGUAAAUUUCAGUUUGUAAGUUCCUGUGAUAGCUCCAGUACAUGUGACUUUUAUGUUGUCUCAAGUUCCUGUUAUAUAUAUACAUAUGUGUGUGUCUGUGAUCUGAAACAUUUAUGUUCUAUCCUACAACCUUAUUGUGUUAGCAUUUUAUUUCUCAUGUAAAACGAAAAUACCAAAAAUAUUAUUGAAGAUAAUCUGAACCUCCUUUGCCCUUUUUGCAUUUUCUUUGGUGACGAUCUUUGGGUACAACCUUGUUUAGUGUAGGUUUAUUUUCUUGCAUUCAUAAUCUGAAUUGUGUUACCUAGCUUUAGCCAACCACCGUCAUUGAUUUGCCUAGUCCCUCAUGAGAACACGACACUCAUAGUUUGGGGCGUAAAAACCCCGCUAUAUUACAAUUGAUCAUUUUGGCGCCGUUGCCGGGGACUAGCGUCGAGCGAUUGUGCGAAGCUAUAGACUAGGCUUAGUAUAGUUUUUGUUUAAAUUUCCAGUCAAAUUUAUUUCUGUGUUUCUUUUACCUUUUUACUAUUUGUUGCUUCGGCUUAUUAGGAUACUAACCCUCUCACCAAUGUUUCAUGUUUGUGAGCGUGUGUAGGAUAUCUUAUUAUUUGUAGGCUGAUUGAUAGUUGCACUUGAACAUAUGGCUUUAGUACGUGAUCUUUGGUUGCCAAGUAGUUUGGACACGAUGACAGGGCCAAUUUGGCCAUCUAUUGAGGCCAAAAAUUUUGAGUUGAGGCCUGGACUUAUUGCUCUCGUCUUGCAGAAUCAGUUUAGAGGAUUACCCAAUGAAGACCCUCAUGAGCACAUUAGUAAUGUUCUGGAGUAUGCCAAUACAGUCUAGUAUCAUGGCGUUUCCCAAGAUGCUAUCAAGUGUAUGUUGUUCACAUUCUCUCUCAGAGAUGCUGCUAAGGACUGGUACUAUUCUUUUCCAUCAAGAUCAUACACUUGGGGUGAUAUUUCACAAGCUUUCCUGCAUAGAUAUUUUCCACUUUACAAGCAAGCUGCAAUUCGUGACCAGAUCCUCAGUUCUGCGCAAGAUGGUAGUGAGAGCUUGUAUGCAGCUUGGGAGAGAUAUAAGUAUUUGCUUAGAAAAUGUCCUAAUCAUGGGCAAAAGGAUUGGUUAGUGCUUCAGAUAUUCUAUAGAGGGAUGACACAUGCUUCAAGAGAUCUUAUUGAUAUGUCAACUGGUGGAACAAUCAUGAACAAGACCGUCGAGGGUGCAAUUAUUCUCAUUGAGAGCAUUGCCUUCCACCAAAUUCAAUGGGGUUAUGAAAGGCCUAGUUCAAAUCCGAAGGUUGCAAGCCUCGUGCAAUCAAAAGUUGUGUGUUCCAUAAGUGAACAGAAAUCAUCCAUGGUGCCUAAUAUUCAAAACCAGCAUGUUUCAUUCCGGGGACAACAACAUUUCAGAACUGAAUUAAAUCCUCCAUAUAGAACGAUUGAUCUUACUUCAAUUAUCCUUGAUGAUGAUUAUGAUAUUUUUCAAGAUGAUGAAACUACUGUAGAUCAGAUGGAAACCACAGUAGCAGAUCCAAUACCUCAUGGCAAUGAAACUGUCCAGAAUGAGUCAAAGCUGCAAGAAGAUGUUUAUGAGGAACCUACUCUGAUUGAUGCUAAGUUGAGACAGCAAGAUAUGGAGAUAUUCACUUGUGUUAGUCAACUAUGUGACUGGUGGAAUUUAGUCGUGUCACCAAUUGCCCACACUUGUGUUACAACGGUAUCUGGGCUAUUUGUCAAGAAGAAAUCAUUAGCUCCACCGGUGGUUGCCUCUAUCACAGUUAAAGAGAGUAUCUCAGAGAAGAAUAGUGAAGAUGAUAUUCCAACUCCUGCACAUACAACUAAGCAAGUCGGAGCCAUUCCAAGGAGAGAGAUACAAGAGGUUGAGUCAAAUUUAGAAGAGUUGAUACUUCAAUAUCCUGAGAAGAUCCCACGUGUUGCUGAGCUGCAUGACUGGUGGAAGUCAUCAGUGUCACUGUGGAGACUUAGUAGUGAUGGUGAUGAGGAGAACAUUGCUCAGAAAGACAACGAGGUAGUGAUCUCAGCACCCCUACCAGAUCAUGUUAGUGAAUAUUCACAUAUGGGGACACUUCAGACUCAAUUAAGUGUUGCUGGUAGUAGCACCAUAGAAGAUCCAGAGGAAGAGAGUCCUCAACUUGAAGAAGAUUUACAAGAAGACAAGGAACAAGAUGAUCAAGAGCUGCAAUUUCCAAGUGAUCAAGUUGAAGACUCAUCAUCUACUACUCCUGAAGAAGUACAAGAUGCUGCUAUAGAUGAAGAUGAAGAACCUGAGAUUCAUUGGCCUAUUGUCAUACAUGAGCGCGAUGUGUCAGGUUUACCCAAUCCUCUUGAUGACAUGCUCCCUUGUGACUUCUUUGCUUCUAACUUGCAUUGCAUGAUGCCAUCACUUAAGGUAGAUUUGAAAAACUAUUUGCUUGGACAUGAUCAUACACACCCUGUUAGUGGCAUUACUCUCAUUUGUGAUGAUCACAGUUACUUUCCUCGUGCUAGUUCUAUGCUUAAUGAAACAUAUCAUUCCCAUGUUAGUCUUGAGCUUAAUGAUAAAUAUCAUCCUCAUGUUAGCAUUGAGCUUACUGAUUUGUACCGUCCUAAACAUGUGCUUUAUAGCUAUGCUUAUGUAAUUGGGUACUCUAUAGAUGAUUUAGAGGGCAUUACCCUUGUCACUUGUAUUGUUUCCCUGGUUGAGUGCUCUUUCAGGUUGUUGCUUGUGCACGAUCCACUACAUGCUGACCAAGUUCGAGAUGACAUUCCCUGGGACCCCGGUGGACCCAUGGCAUGGGGAUGAGGAGAAGCAAGGAGCACACAUGAAGAGAGAAGCUGGAGCAGGCAUGAGGAUAGAGAAGCAAAAAGAGAAGAGCUGCAGCUUAGAGAGUGAUCAAGCGAGUGCUACUUCAUAGUGCCCGGUUAGCUGUUUCAUGACCCAUUCUGAGUAUAUCAUCCAUUGAUGCUUGCUGAAUUAAAUUGCUAUUUGGGUUGCUUGUGCCAUUUAUUAAAUGUUGUCCCACUGAAUUUCACCUUUGACAUAUGGUGCUUGAUGAGAAUAUGCGAACUAAUUGUUGAACGCCUUGUAACUAGUGAUCUACACCCUGUUUGCACUGCUGAAAGUAGUGAAAGCUAUUAGUUCUGAGUGCUCAAAUCCCUAGUACACUAGAAAACUAAAUCAUUUUCUGCAUUUACUAUGAUACACCUAGAUCACCAUGUUUAGAUGCUGAAUUUGUGCCAAGUGUGUUCCCAUUGAGAGCAAUCACCUAACCACUAUGGAAUAGCAUGCUAUGUUCCCUGGAUCGGUAGCAUGUGAACCAGACAUGGAGAAGUGAUGAUUCCUAUUUUUGUGCUUAUGCAUUGUUCAUUUAAGAUAAGUAAUAAUGAAUAAAUUAGUCUGACUACCUACAGUAGCAUGUCAUGUUCUUGGGAUCGGUGGCAUGUGAAAUCGGGUUAGCUUGGGCAGUAAUUAUUAUAAAAAUGUAAUUGUCGAACCAGGUGUAUACCAUGUUCUCGGGAUCGGUGGUAUGUUCCUUUGGGGAGACAAACAAGAAAACUAUAUAAUUGGUCGAGCCGGGUGUAUACCAUGUUCUCGGGAUCGGUGGUAUGUUCCUUUGGUGAGAUCAAUAAAAUAUUAUCAUUACUUCCUUCAAAUUCAAUAAGUGGUUCAACCACAAAGUUAUAUUUCUGCAAAUAAGAGAUUUAAUUCCAGUUCUUUUUGUUCUCGGGAUCAUGCUCUCUUUAGGAAUCAUUUGGCGCAAUCAUCAUUUAAACUUGUUGGUCCUCUUUUAUCAUUGUAAAAGUUUAAAAUGGUCAUGCUUACCAGUAUCCUACUGCUUUGUAGCACUCUUAACCAUCAAUUUUCACUAGCUAAGUCCAAAAGCAUGCAUUGUUUAGAGAUCUACUUCACUUGGACAUUCUUUACUCAGUUCACUGUUCACAUUCUUGCUCUUGUCAUAUGCCUUUACUUGAGGACAAGCAAAGAUUUAAGUGUGGGGGAACUUGAUAAGUAUAUUUCACAUAUAUAAUUUUGGUACUCAAAUAUAGCUUCUAUCGUGACAUAUUCGUCCAUUCUUGCCAUGAUUGAUUGAAUAUUGCUUGAUAAUCAUCAAAGAGGAUCAUUUACUAGUCUUUGGUCUAUCUUGCAGAAAUGUGCGCAAAGGCACUAAUAAUCGUCAAGAUUCCGUCUAUGUGGCUAUCGUGAAGAGUGAAGAAGAGAAGAGAAGGAAGAAGAGACUUGUGUGAGAUGAAGAGAAGUAACCAGGGGGCUAGGUAAAGAAGUGGGAGGACCUUCUUGUGAAGAAAGAAGAGAAGAAAGAGGGCCAAAUCACAAAGUGCAGAUGAGAGGAGGGGAACAAAAUCUAGGCGCUGGAGGGAUCCGAUCGGGCCUGGCCAUAUCUCCAUCUCUCUUCUCCCCCACCACUUCUUCCACCUCAGGCCGCCGCCACGGCCAGGCCGGCGUGGUGGUGUGCCUCUGCAGCCCAGCCACCACCAUCUCCAUCCAUCUCCGCUGCGGCACCAUCCACAUCAGCGCCGCUGCGCCAUCCAUCACCAGCACCAACACCCAGCGCCACCUAGCACCUCCACACGCUCCACACCGCCACCAUCUAUCACCACCGCACCACUGAACACCUCCGUGCGAGAGUUUCCCUGCUGCCGUCCUUCUUCCCUUGCCUCUGUAGCUGCUCUUUCUUGCGCCCCUGUGCUGCUGCCUUUCUUCUCCCCUUGCUACUGCUCCCCUUUUCUAGCGCCUCAACCUGCUGCUGCUUCUCCUUCGCCUGCUGCUAGUCCCUUUCCCCACGCCUCUGCUGCUCCUCCUCUUAAAACUGCUACUGCUCUUCUUUCCCACGUUCCUGCUCUGCACUCUGCUUCUCACCUCCGUUGCUGCUGUUUCUCUUCUGAACCUCUGCUACUGUUCAACUCUGAACCUCUGCAUCUGUGUUGAAUGUGCUUUCAGUGUUCUUGAGAUGUGUAAAACUGUUCAAUAUUCAGCUUACAAUUUGUGAAACUUUUGUGAUUCAGCGGUGUCUCUAUGUUAUACAUAUAGAUUGUGUAUUGCUCGCUGCAGUAAAUUUCAGUUUGUAAGUUCCUGUGAUAGCUCUAGUACAUGUGACUUUUAUGUUGUCUCAAGUUCCUGUUAUAUAUAUACAUAUGUGUGUGUCUGUGAUGUGAUACAUUUAUGUUCUGUCCUACAACCUUAUUGUGUUAGCAUUUUAUUUCUCAUGUAAAACGAAAAUACCAAAAAUAUUAUUGAAGAUAAUCUGAACCUCCUUUGCCC